CCUACGGGAGGCAGCAGUGAGGAAUAUUGGUCAAUGGGCGCGAGCCUGAACCAGCCAAGUCGCGUGAGGGAUGACGGCCCUAUGGGUUGUAAACCUCUUUUGUCGGGGAGUAAAGUGCCGCACGUGUGCGGUUUUGUGUGUACCCUGUGAAUAAGCAUCGGCUAACUCCGUGCCAGCAGCCGCGGUAAUACGGAGGAUCCGAGCGUUAUCCGGAUUUAUUGGGUUUAAGGGGUGCGUAGGCGGACGCUUAAGUCAGCGGUAAAGUUGCGGGGCUCAACCUAGUCGAGCCGUUGAAACUGGGGGCCUGGAGUGUGAGAGAGGUAAGCGGAAUGAGAGGUGUAGCGGUAAAAUGCAUAGAUAUCACGCAGAACACCAGUGGCGAAGGCAGCGUGCCGGGGCGAAACUGACACUGAGGCACGAAGGCGUGGGUAUCGAACAGGAUUAGAUACCCCAGUAGUC
rnacentral:rRNA from 1 species